rnacentral:rRNA from 1 species
GACGAACGCUGGCGGCGUGCUUAACACAUGCAAGUCGAACGAAGAGCGAUGGAAGCUUGCUUCUAUCAAUCUUAGUGGCGAACGGGUGAGUCACGCGUAAUCAACCUGCCCUUCAGAGGGGGACAACAGUUGGAAACGACUGCUAAUACCGCAUACGAUCUAAUCUCGGCAUCGAGGAUAGAUGAAAGGUGGCCUCUACAUGUAAGCUAUCAAUGAAGGAGGGGAAUGCGUCUGAUUAGCUAGUUGGUGGGGAAACGGCCCACCAAGGCGAUGCUCAGUAGCCGGUCUGAGAGGAUGAACGGCCACAAUGGGACUGAGACACGGCCCAGACUCCUACGGGAGGCAGCAGUGGGGAAACUUCCGCAAUGGACGAAAGGCUGACGGAGCAACGCCGCGUGAGUGAUGACGGCCUUCGGGUUGUAAAGCUCUGUUAAUCGGGACGAAAGGCCUUCUUGCGAAUAGGGAGAAGGAUUGACGGUACCGGAAUAGAAAGCCACGGCUAACUACGUG